UUCAAAAAUAGUUUUGAAGUUUAUGCGGUUUAACCCACCGCGUAUAACAUAGAACGUUACAUAGGAGAAACAAAUG
rnacentral:ncRNA from 1 species